rnacentral:rRNA from 1 species
AAUAAAUUAUAAAUAGGGUAGUUUUCUAUAUACAAAUUUUAAAUUAAUUAAAUAAUAUAAAAUAUUUUAUAUUAAACAGUUAAAUAAAGUAUAGUUUAUAAAAAUUUAUAAUUAUCCUAUAAAAAGAACCGUGAGGGAAUUUGAAAGAAGAUUUAAAGCCAAUUUAAAGAAAAGAGGCUUUAUAAGCUUACCUUUUGUAUUAUGGUUAAUUAAUAUUAAAAUAAAUUAUUAUUAAGAACGAAAAUAAGCGAGCGAGUGCUCUCUUUAAUUAUAGUUAUAAUCUCUAGUUGUUGAAAAAACAUGGGGAGAGAGAGUAUUAGAGGUGAAAUGCUAAACGAGCUUAUAGAUAGCUUUUUUUUAGGGAAGGAAGUAAAAGCUUCAUUUGUGUUGUAAAAUUAUAAACAAACGGGCGAUCGGGUGUUUAUUAGUGGGUAAACCAUAAGUUUUAAGUAAAAUCAUAAAGAAAUUUUAGUAGUAUUUUAAGUAAGUUUUUAAGCAAUUAUCUUUUUAAGUGCGUUUGAGCAUAAAAAUAUUUUAGUUAUAAUUAUUGAAGUUUAUGUUGAUCUUAUAUUAAUUACCUGGAUAUUUCUAUAAAGGAAGAAAUAAUGAUUAAAUUAGUAAAUAUUUCUUUAAUUAAAUUAUAAUAGUUUUAAAAUUCGAAUUGUAAAAUCGGAGUUUUAAUAAAUAUUUACUUAUUUUAGUAAAGAAUAAAUAAAUUAACUUGAAAAAGGAAUUCGGCAAAUAUUGUCCUCGCCUGUUUACCUAAAACAUGGCCCUUGGAAAAAGAUCGAAGGGUCCGGCCUGCCCGGUGACGUAAUUGUUAAACGGCUGCAGUAUUCUGACUGUGCAAAGGUAGCAUAAUCAUUAGCCUAUUAAUUGUAGGCUGGCAUCAACGGUUAGACGAAGGAUAAGCUGUCUCUUUUUAGUAAAAUUGAAUUUAAAGUUUAAGUGAAGAUGCUUAAAUAAAGUAGUGGGACGAGAAGACCCUAUUGAGCUUUAGCUAUAUUAAAGAGAUUUCCUUUAAAAUAGUUUAGGUUGGGGCAACUCUUUUUAUUAUAAAACAAAAGUUAUUAAUAAUGGAUCUAUACUAUUUUAGACCCCGAAAAUUCGGGUACUAGGAAAAAGUUACCAUAGGGAUAACAGCGUUAUUUUUCUUGAGAGUACAUAUUGACAGAAGAGUUUGCGACCUCGAUGUUGGAUCAAGAUUUCCUGGGGGUGCAGCAGUUUCCAAAGGUUGGUUUGUUCAACCAUAAAAAUCUUACGUGAUCUGAGUUCAGUCCGUCGUGAGACAGGACAGUUUUUAUCUACUAAUAUUCUUUGUUUUGUACGAAAGGACUUAUAAAGAAAGAAAAAUUAAUUUUUAAAUUCUUAUUAUAAAAAAAGAUAAAGUAAUAUUUAUUA